UACGAAGGGUGCAAGCGUUACUCGGAAUUACUGGCGUAAAGCGUGCGUAGGCGGUUUCGUUAAGUCCGUUGAUCGAAAGGCCCUGGGCUCAACCUGGGAAUGGCAGUGGAUACUGGCGAGCGUAGAGUGUUGAUGAGAGGAUAGGUGGAAUUCCCGGUGUAGCGGUGAAAAUGCGUAGAGAAUGCGGAGGAACACCGGACUGGCGAAGGCAGCCCCCCUGGGCUAGCACAUGACGUCGAGGCACGGAAAGCGUGGGGAGCAAACACGG
rnacentral:rRNA from 1 species